rnacentral:rRNA from 1 species
UACGUAGGGGGCAAGCGUUGUCCGGAAUCAUUGGGCGUAAAGCGCGUGUAGGCGGCUCGAUAAGUCUGCUGUGAAAGUCCAAGGCUCAACCUUGGGAUGCCGGUGGAUACUGUCGAGCUCGAGUCCGGAAGAGGAGUGUGGAAUUCCUGGUGUAGCGGUGAAAUGCGCAGAUAUCAGGAGGAACACCGGUGGCGAAGGCGGUUCUCUGGGCAUUACCUGACGCUGAGGAGCGAAAGCGUGGGGAGCAAACAGG